rnacentral:lncRNA from 1 species
UCAUAUUGUGUCCACACUUCUUGGUGUGACACCUCCUGAUUGAUGCGAUUCUUUUGUAAACGAUAUUUGUUCCGAUUAAAUGCAUUAAUAAUAUAUCAGCAACCAUUUAAAAAAAAAUUUUUUUUUUGAAAAAUCCAAUAGAAAAUCUUUAUAAAAAAAAGAAAAAUCCGAUAGAAAAAAUAUAAUUCGUGUGAGUCAAACCAUUUGGAAAAAAAAAAGAAACAAACAUAUAUGCGUCCUUUGACAAGUUUGGAUCGACUUGAAAUAGUAAACUCAACACUUUGGCAUUUCUCACAUUCACAUUUCAUUAAGUAAUUCCCAUAAGAGGGGGAGGUUGAA